rnacentral:tRNA from 1 species
UCCUGGGUGGCUCAGUCGGUUAAGCGUCCGACUUCGGCUCAGAUCAUGAUCUCACGGUUCGUGGGUUCGAGCCCCACAUCAGGCU